AUUCUAUUGCUCUGGCUCCUUUUGGUUCUUCUCUCUCUCUCUCUCAUCCUUUCUUCUUUUGUUGGUUUGGUUCUUGCUUUGCAUUUCUUCUUUGCUUUGCUUUAAUUUCCACAUCAGUUCCCAAGUUUUCUGCCAAGUGACCUACAUGCCAGAGGACAGCGAAACAUCCAUAUUGGUCCAAAGAGAGAGACGAUCUAACAGGAUUAUUAGUCUGAUUAUGGAUCCGUUCCAAUUCUGUUCAGUUUUUGUCAGGACCUGGAGCGCUGUUUACAGUGAGCAUUGCCUCAAGGCACUUCACAGAGCCUGCAACUUAAAGAACAACACUAUGAGGUAACUUAAAACAACACUAUGAAACAACAUGCCACUAAAAGAACAACACUAUGAAACAACAUGCCACUAAAAGAACAACACUAUGAAAUAACUUGAAGAACAACACUAUGAGGUAACUUAAAGAACAACACUAUGAAAUAACAUGCCACUUAAAGAACAACACUAUGAGGUAACUUAAAGAACAACACUAUGAAAUAACAUGCCACUUAAAGAACAACACUAUGAGGUAACUUAAAACAACACUAUGAAACAACAUGCCACUUUUGGAGGUUUGUUUUUAUUAGCAACUUCCUUUGGUAUUCUCUUCCAAUUUCAAACUAGUCAUGGGAGUCAAAUCAAGUCAUGUGAAAGACAGAUAAACACUAGCCAUCCAGAUAAACACUAGCCAUCCAGAUAAACACUAGCCAUCCUGAUAAACACUAGCCAUCCUGAUAAACACUAGUCAUCCUGAUAAACACUAGUCAUCCUGAUAAACACUAGUCAUCCUGAUAAACACUAGCCAUCCUGAUAAACACUAGCCAUCCUGAUAAACACUAGCCAUCCUGAUAAACACUAGUCAUCCUGAUAAACACUAGCCAUCCUGAUAAACACUAGCCACCCAGAUAAACACUAGCCAUCCUGAUAAACACUAGCGAUCCAGAUAAACACUAGUCAUCCAGAUAAACACUAGUCAUCCAGAUAAACACUAGCCACCCAGAUAAACACUAGCCAUCAAAAUAAACACUAGCCAUCCAGACAAACACUAGCCAUCCAGAUAAACACUAGUCAUCCAGAUAAACACUAGUCAUCCAGAUAAACACUAGUCAUCCUGAUAAACACUAGCGAUCCAGAUAAACACUAGUCAUCCAGAUAAACACUAGCGAUCCAGAUAAACACUAGUCAUCCUGAUAAACACUAGCGAUCCAGAUAAACACUAGUCAUCCAGAUAAACACUAGUCAUCCAGAUAAACACUAGCCACCCAGAUAAACACUAGCCAUCAAAA
ensembl:lncRNA